rnacentral:rRNA from 1 species
AUACGGAGGAUCCGAGCGUUAUCCGGAUUUAUUGGGUUUAAAGGGUGCGCAGGCGGCCGUCCAAGUCCGGUGUUAAAUGGUCGGGCUCAACCCGAUCAUGCGCUGGAAACUGGGCGGCUGGAGUCCCGGAGGGGAUGCCGGAAUUCCAGGUGUAGGGGUGAAAUCUGUAGAUAUCUGGAAGAACACCGAUGGCGAAGGCAGGCAUCUGGCCGGAGACUGACGCUGAGGCGCGAAGGCGCGGGGAGCGAACAGGUUUAGAUACCCUGGUAGUCCGCGCAGUAAACGAUGCGCACCAGGUGUCGGGCGGCAGCGCCCGGUACCGGAGCAAACGCGAUGAGUGCGCCGCCUGGGGAGUAUGCCCGCAAGGGUGAAACUCAAAGGAAUUGACGGGG